AGAUUAAGGUAUUAAGGGCGCACGGUGGAUGCCUUGGCACUAGAAGCCGAUGAAGGACGUUACUAACGACGAUAUGCUUUGGGUAGCUGUAAGUAAGCGUUGAUCCAGAGAUUUCCGAAUGGGGGAACCCAGCAUGAGUUAUGUCAUGUUAUCGACAUGUGAAUUCAUAGCAUGUCAGAAGGCAGACCCGGAGAACUGAAACAUCUUAGUACCCGGAGGAAGAGAAAGAAAAAUCGAUUCCCUGAGUAGCGGCGAGCGAAACGGGAAUAGCCCAAACCAACAAGCUUGCUUGUUGGGGUUGUAGGACACUCUAUACGGAGUUACAAAAGAACAUGUUAGACGAAUCAUCUGGAAAGAUGAAUCAAAGAAGGUAAUAAUCCUGUAGUCGAAAACAUAUUCUCUCUUGAGUGGAUCCUGAGUACGACGGAGCACGUGAAAUUCCGUCGGAAUCUGGGAGGACCAUCUCCUAAGGCUAAAUACUCUCUAGUGACCGAUAGUGAACCAGUACCGUGAGGGAAAGGUGAAAAGUACCCCGGAAGGGGAGUGAAAGAGAACUUGAAACCGUGUGCUUACAAGUAGUCAGAGCCCGUUAAUGGGUGAUGGCGUGCCUUUUGUAGAAUGAACCGGCGAGUUACGAUCUGAUGCAAGGUUAAGCAGCAAAUGUGGAGCCGCAGCGAAAGCGAGUCUGAAUAGGGCGUUGAGUAUUUGGUCGUAGACCCGAAACCAGGUGAUCUACCCUUGGUCAGGUUGAAGUUCAGGUAACACUGAAUGGAGGACCGAACCGACUUACGUUGAAAAGUGAGCGGAUGAACUGAGGGUAGCGGAGAAAUUCCAAUCGAACUUGGAGAUAGCUGGUUCUCUCCGAAAUAGCUUUAGGGCUAGCCUCAAGUGAUGAUUAUUGGAGGUAGAGCACUGUUUGGACGAGGGGCCCCUCUCGGGUUACCGAAUUCAGACAAACUCCGAAUGCCAAUUAAUUUAACUUGGGAGUCAGAACAUGGGUGAUAAGGUCCGUGUUCGAAAGGGAAACAGCCCAGACCACCAGCUAAGGUCCCAAAAUAUAUGUUAAGUGGAAAAGGAUGUGGCGUUGCCCAGACAACUAGGAUGUUGGCUUAGAAGCAGCCAUCAUUUAAAGAGUGCGUAAUAGCUCACUAGUCGAGUGACACUGCGCCGAAAAUGUACCGGGGCUAAACAUAUUACCGAAGCUGUGGAUUGUCCUUUGGACAAUGGUAGGAGAGCGUUCUAAGGGCGUCGAAGCAUGAUCGCAAGGACAUGUGGAGCGCUUAGAAGUGAGAAUGCCGGUGUGAGUAGCGAAAGACGGGUGAGAAUCCCGUCCACCGAUUGACUAAGGUUUCCAGAGGAAGGCUCGUCCGCUCUGGGUUAGUCGGGUCCUAAGCUGAGGCCGACAGGCGUAGGCGAUGGAUAACAGGUUGAUAUUCCUGUACCACCUAGUAUCGUUUUAAUCGAUGGGGGGACGCAGUAGGAUAGGCGAAGCGUGCUGUUGGAGUGCACGUCCAAGCAGUAAGGCUGAGUGUUAGGCAAAUCCGGCACUCAUAAGGCUGAGCUGUGAUGGGGAGAGGAAAUUGUUUCCUCGAGUCGUUGAUUUCACACUGCCGAGAAAAGCCUCUAGAUAGAUAACAGGUGCCCGUACCGCAAACCGACACAGGUAGUCAAGAUGAGAAUUCUAAGGUGAGCGAGCGAACUCUCGUUAAGGAACUCGGCAAAAUGACCCCGUAACUUCGGGAGAAGGGGUGCUCUUUAGGGUUCACGCCCAGAAGAGCCGCAGUGAAUAGGCCCAAGCGACUGUUUAUCAAAAACACAGGUCUCUGCUAAACCGUAAGGUGAUGUAUAGGGGCUGACGCCUGCCCGGUGCUGGAAGGUUAAGAGGAGUGGUUAGCUUCUGCGAAGCUACGAAUCGAAGCCCCAGUAAACGGCGGCCGUAACUAUAACGGUCCUAAGGUAGCGAAAUUCCUUGUCGGGUAAGUUCCGACCCGCACGAAAGGCGUAACGAUUUGGGCACUGUCUCAACGAGAGACUCGGUGAAAUCAUAGUACCUGUGAAGAUGCAGGUUACCCGCGACAGGACGGAAAGACCCCGUGGAGCUUUACUGUAGCCUGAUAUUGAAAUUCGGCACAGCUUGUACAGGAUAGGUAGGAGCCUUUGAAACGUGAGCGCUAGCUUACGUGGAGGCGUUGGUGGGAUACUACCCUAGCUGUGUUGGCUUUCUAACCCGCACCACUUAUCGUGGUGGGAGACAGUGUCAGGCGGGCAGUUUGACUGGGGCGGUCGCCUCCUAAAAGGUAACGGAGGCGCUCAAAGGUUCCCUCAGAAUGGUUGGAAAUCAUUCAUAGAGUGUAAAGGCAUAAGGGAGCUUGACUGCGAGACCUACAAGUCGAGCAGGGUCGAAAGACGGACUUAGUGAUCCGGUGGUUCCGCAUGGAAGGGCCAUCGCUCAACGGAUAAAAGCUACCCCGGGGAUAACAGGCUUAUCUCCCCCAAGAGUUCACAUCGACGGGGAGGUUUGGCACCUCGAUGUCGGCUCAUCGCAUCCUGGGGCUGUAGUCGGUCCCAAGGGUUGGGCUGUUCGCCCAUUAAAGCGGUACGCGAGCUGGGUUCAGAACGUCGUGAGACAGUUCGGUCCCUAUCCGUCGUGGGCGUAGGAAAUUUGAGAGGAGCUGUCCUUAGUACGAGAGGACCGGGAUGGACAUACCUCUGGUGUACCAGUUGUCGUGCCAACGGCAUAGCUGGGUAGCUAUGUAUGGACGGGAUAAGUGCUGAAAGCAUCUAAGCAUGAAGCCCCCCUCAAGAUGAGAUUUCCCAACUUCGGUUAUAAGAUCCCUCGAAGAUGACGAGGUUAAUAGGUUCGAGGUGGAAGCGUGGUGACACGUGGAGCUGACGAAUACUAAUCGAUCGAAGACUUAAUCAAUUUUUAAA
rnacentral:rRNA from 1 species